rnacentral:rRNA from 1 species
UACAGAGGGGGCAAGCGUUAUUCGGAAUUAUUGGGCGGAAAGGGCGCGUAGGCGGCUUGGCAAGUGGAUGGUGAAAUCCCUCGGCUUAACCGAGGAACUGCCGUCCAAACUGCUUCGCUUGAGACCGGGAGAGGUGAGUGGAAUUCCCAGUGUAGCGGUGAAAUGCGUAGAUAUUGGGAGGAACACCAGUGGCGAAGGCGGCUCACUGGACCGGUACUGACGCUGAUGCGCGAAAGCGUGGGGAGCAAACGGG